AAGAUUCUUUACAUAUUUUCUCAUGACUUUUCAUAUUUUCUUCACUUCAAAUUUUAUCUAUUUAUUAGUUGCAUUAUUACAUGUAUUUUUGUCAGUUUAGAUUCAUUAAUCAAACCAUUUUAAACAAGUGGUUGUUUGUGGUAAGACCUUAUUGUAAUAGGUUGAGCUACACCUUGGUUGGCAACAACAUGCUUUGAGAAUUAUGCGAGGCAAAUGCCAUUAAGUAAUUGCUUUCUCACCUAUAUUGGAACUUGCUGUUAGGGGGAACUUGGUAGGAAAACCAAUAUAGUUAUGAAUAAUGAUGUCCUCACAGUAUUUGUAGAUCGGUGCUCGACAAGUUUGUUGCUCAAGUGGUUUGUCUAUCAUCAUAUGUAGCAUUGGCAGCAUUUCACAUUAUACAUUUGUCUUUGAAUGAUUUGAAUAAUACUGUAUGUCAUUUUGUUUUAUUUAAACUUAAUUUUAUGUUUAGAUAUAUAUUCUUCUUACACAUUAUACAUUUGUCUUUGAUGGAUACAUGAUAUAUGGCUUAUCUUAAGCUUUUGAAAGAACUGACAGUUCAACUACUAUCAGUAGUGGGAGUUAGUUUCUUAUUGACCUGUGCUUUAUGUUCAUUAGGAUCUCGCGUCGCUACUCCAACUCCAAAGUCAUCUAUAAAUAUUAAUAAGCCACACCGAUUUGAAUCUCUCUUGCCACGUGGUGUACUCAAGGUAACCAUGCCCUCACAAUGAUUUAGCCUUCAAUGCCAUAAUUAGGCCAAUUUUUAAAAGAAAAAAAAUACACUAAGAUGUUUUUCAAAUGCCUAAUCUCACUCAAUAGUUUGUCGGCAUUGGUGCUGCUUUUUUAAAACCCUAAGCAUAUCAUCAUCUCCCUCUUAGCACUAUCGUCAUUGAAUCAAAGUGCCGCCGGCCCAGGUACUAUCAUCCUACUUGCAUCCUCUCCAUUCUUGCUGUCGUUUCCUUGCAUUGAUUUCUUCAUCAAACCUUCAUGAUCCUAAGUUAGGGUCGUUGUUGUCCUUUCUCUGUCAAACGGUACAGCUGAGUGACUAUCAAUGAUUUUGUUUUCAUUUUUCUCUCAUAAUUGCUCUGUAUUUUCGUUUUUGUCAAGUAUCAAAGUAAAUCAAUUCUUGCCUUUGUUCUGAUUUUUUUAUUCUUCUAUUUGUUUGUAUUGAAUAUUGGUGAUGUUUCAGGACAGUUUCAUGUUGAAUAUUCCAGCACUGGAGUUAAUGUUUUGAUUGUUAGAGGCAGUUUAACAUUACAGUAAAUUGAAGAAAAUAAUCAAGCUAGGCAGAGAACAACAAUUUGACGGUCAUCACUUUAGCAAACCAUUGUCUGAGGAUAAACAUGGUGUUUGAGGAUAAACAUGUCAAUCGUUGCUUUUGCAGGUCCACACAUUCACGCAUUCAGGUAGUCAUUCAAUCAAUAUGGGAUGGCUCAGAUUUAAUAUCGUACGUAGAAAAUAAUGGGCUGCAUGUUGCUUCAAAAUCCUCUUCUGAAACAAAGAUUACACGGUCGAGCAGGCAGGUUUGUUUUGUCAUUCCUUCUUUUCUUUAUUUAAGGUUUAUUAUUUAGAAUUUUAGAAUAAAUGAAUUUUAGCUUAAUGAUCACAUUUAAAAUUUCAUUAGAUAUAAUAAAAUUUGUAGCUUAAUUUAUGGGAUUCUCUUUUGAAGCAUAAUAGUUCAUGGUACAAUCAUGUUCCUUCCACUAUUGAAUGUGGUUAAAUUGAUCUGUUUUGUCUAAUUUGCCACUGUCUACAUAUUUGAACUUAUUACACCAUUAUGGCAUACUUAAAAGUCAUCGUUUAGAAGUCUUUGUAUUUCGAACAUCAGCAUAUUUGAUGUGAGUUAUUCAUUUUUUAAAUUAUUGAUCUUGCAAUACAUAUGUUUAUUUUGUUCGUUCAU